rnacentral:rRNA from 1 species
UGUAGUGGGGGAUAACUAGUCGAAAGACUAGCUAAUACCGCAUACGACCUGAGGGUGAAAGUGGGGGGCCGCAAGGCCUCAUGCUAUAGGAGCGGCCGAUGUCUGAUUAGCUAGUUGGUGGGGUAAAGGCCCACCAAGGCGACGAUCAGUAGCUGGUCUGAGAGGACGAUCAGCCACACUGGGACUGAGACACGGCCAGACUCUACGGGAGGCAGCAGUGGGGAAUUUUGGACAAUGGGGGCAACCUGAUCCAGCAAUGCCGCGUGUGUGAAGAAGGCCUUCGGGUUGUAAAGCACUUUUGUCCGGAAAGAAAUCGCACUGGUUAAUACCUGGUGUGGAUGACGGUACCGGAAGAAUAAGGACCGGCUAACUACGUGCCAGCAGCCGCGGUAAUACGUAGGGUCCAAGCGUUAAUCGGAAUUACUGGGCGUAAAGCGUGCGCAGGCGGUUGUGCAAGACCGAUGUGAAAUCCCCGGGCUUAACCUGGGAAUUGCAUUGGUGACUGCACGGCUAGAGUGUGUCAGAGGGAGGUAGAAUUCCACGUGUAGCAGUGAAAUGCGUAGAGAUGUGGAGGAAUACCGAUGGCGAAGGCAGCCUCCUGGGAUAACACUGACGCUCAUGCACGAAAGCGUGGGGAGCAAACAGGAUUAGAUACCCUGGUAGUCCACGCCCUAAACGAUGUCAACUAGUUGUUGGGGAUUCAUUUCCUUAGUAACGUAGCUAACGCGUGAAGUUGACCGCCUGGGGAGUACGGUCGCAAGAUUAAAACUCAAAGGAAUUGACGGGGACCCGCACAAGCGGUGGAUGAUGUGGAUUAAUUCGAUGCAACGCGAAAAACCUUACCUACCCUUGACAUGCCACUAACGAAGCAGAGAUGCAUUAGGUGCUCGAAAGAGAAAGUGGACACAGGUGCUGCAUGGCUGUCGUCAGCUCGUGUCGUGAGAUGUUGGGUUAAGUCCCGCAACGAGCGCAACCCUUGUCUCUAGUUGCUACGAAAGGCACUCUAGAGAGACUGCCGGUGACAAACCGGAGGAAGGUGGGGAUGACGUCAAGUCCUCAUGGCCCUUAUGGGUAGGGCUUCACACGUCAUACAAUGGUGCAUACAGAGGGUUGCCAAGCCGCGAGGUGGAGCUAAUCCCAGAAAAUGCAUCGUAGUCCGGAUCGUAGUCUGCAACUCGACUACGUGAAGCUGGAAUCGCUAGUAAUCGCGGAUCAGCAUGCCGCGGUGAAUACGUU